UGUUCUAUGGCUUAGUUCGUUAAAACGCCGGACUAGCGAUACCACGGAGUCGUGGGUUCGAAUCCCACCAAAACAA
rnacentral:tRNA from 1 species